CAGCAACCCCACGUGUGGAAAAUGCUAACGCGUGUGGAGGGCUGAUGUGCAGGGAGUGCUUGGAACAUAGGCCAAGUCUCUAAGAUAGAAACCAGGGAAAGCUGUUAGGGGCCUGGAGCUGCCAGAGAAGAAACCUCAGAGUGCGAAUCUGUGAAUCCUGUAACUGCAGCAGAAACGAGCAAGCUUCCACUUGGAAAUCUCCAGGCACCAGGAAAUACUGCGUUACUUCUCACCCACCACGUGGGAGCUGGAAGAGAUGGCUCAGUGGCUAAGAUGGCUGCCCCUGAAGACCUACCUAAUUCAGUUCCCAGCACCUACACGGCAGUGCACAAGCAUCUAUAGUUCCAAGAUCUCAGGAUCUGAAAUGCCCUCCAG
rnacentral:lncRNA from 1 species